rnacentral:rRNA from 1 species
UCGAACUGAAACUUUCUUACACCGAAUGCUAGCAUUCACCGUAAGAAGUUGAGUGGCGGACGGGUGAGUAACACGUGGGUAACCUGCCUAAAAGAAGGGGAUAACACUUGGAAACAGGUGCUAAUACCGUAUAUCUCUAAGGAUCGCAUGAUCCUUAGAUGAAAGAUGGUUCUGCUAUCGCUUUUAGAUGGACCCGCGGCGUAUUAACUAGUUGGUGGGGUAACGGCCUACCAAGGUGAUGAUACGUAGCCGAACUGAGAGGUUGAUCGGCCACAUUGGGACUGAGACACGGCCCAAACUCCUACGGGAGGCAGCAGUAGGGAAUCUUCCACAAUGGACGCAAGUCUGAUGGAGCAACGCCGCGUGAGUGAAGAAGGUCUUCGGAUCGUAAAACUCUGUUGUUAGAGAAGAACACGAGUGAGAGUAACUGUUCAUUCGAUGACGGUAUCUAACCAGCAAGUCACGGCUAACUACGUGCCAGCAGCCGCGGUAAUACGUAGGUGGCAAGCGUUGUCCGGAUUUAUUGGGCGUAAAGGGAACGCAGGCGGUCUUUUAAGUCUGAUGUGAAAGCCUUCGGCUUAACCGGAGUAGUGCAUUGGAAACUGGAAGACUUGAGUGCAGAAGAGGAGAGUGGAACUCCAUGUGUAGCGGUGAAAUGCGUAGAUAUAUGGAAGAACACCAGUGGCGAAAGCGGCUCUCUGGUCUGUAACUGACGCUGAGGUUCGAAAGCGUGGGUAGCAAACAGGAUUAGAUACCCUGGUAGUCCACGCCGUAAACGAUGAAUGCUAGGUGUUGGAGGGUUUCCGCUCUUCAGUGCCGCAGCUAACGCAAUAAGCAUUCCGCCUGGGGAGUACGACCGCAAGGUUGAAACUCAAAGGAAUUGACGGGGGCCCGCACAAGCGGUGGAGCAUGUGGUUUAAUUCGAAGCAACGCGAAGAACCUUACCAGGUCUUGACAUCCUUUGACCACCUAAGAGAUUAGGCUUUCCCUUCGGGGACAAAGUGACAGGU